UGAGAAUUUUUUACAUGGAGUAUCUGUAGUUGAAGUCGACAGUGGACCACGUUCGAUUCGCGGAACCUCAUC
rnacentral:tRNA from 1 species